GUGACCGCGCGUGUGAGCAGCUUGCCUCAUGUUUCCUGCGCAUGAGUACGGUUUUUUGGUGUGCGCGUGUGUGGCAGACGUUUUUUUAGCGGAUGAAUGACGCAAACCUGUUGUGUGCCGCGGUGCAACUCGAACGUGUAAAAAGACGCUACUGUGAAGUACCACGUAUUCCCGUGCGAUCUACAGUGUCGGGAAGCGUAAUAUUCGUAAAAGAGCACUUCUUUCUGCCUCAAACGAGCGCUAAAUCAGCCGCGCGCCGCCGCAUCCUGACUACAGCAUCAUGCCACUGCGCUGACUGCUACCCCCAACGGGUGCGCGCAACGUAACAAAAAAGACAAGCAUCAAAAGGCGCCCGGGGCGAACCCCUACCCUCUCCACCGAGAACGCCGUCGCGGAAGAAAUCAAAGUGGAACCGACCGAUUCCGCAGACGAAGCGGCGAGACGAAUCCCUUUCCCCUAGCUGUCGCUGCGCUACGUGCUACGAGGCGAACAAUCACUUGGAGUGUUCGCGAAACCGGGAAGGAUCCAAACGAAAGACGACGGAGGGUAGGAUGGUAGCGACGGUAGGAUGAAGUCGGCGAAGAAAUUAUGUUGUUCGUGUGAGUCGUGUAGUGCGGUCAGUUGAUCUUGGAUAAUCGAGUGAUGACACCGUGGGUGCACUGUUUAGAAGAGUGUCGCCGAAUGACGGUGACCGGAGCUGGAUAUUGUUUGACUGUUUCAUGGAAGAGAAAUAUACGAGGAACGUUCAAAGAAUUGUGGGCUGCACACGUUUGGUGAAUAUUCAAGGCCUUUAAGUGCUCUUCGAUAGUUUCUGAUGGAUGAGAGUGCAUUUGUAGCACGGUAAGUUUGUUCCCGUUGUUUUAAACACCAUCUAAGUGAUGUUGUGAGUUGUAAUUGAUACCUGCCGAGUGUGGAUGUUUGCGUGGUGCUUGUACUGCCUUAACUCAGAAUAUAUUUUGUUUGUGUUGUCAACUCUUGGCUCUAACUCUUGCUUUGGACCACAACCGGCAUUAGUUGGCGCACUAAAAGGACCUACAUUUAAAUUGUGUGUUUUUUCGUGGUGCGUUUCGGUGGGCCGAUAAGUCAGCCCUUGGAACUUUCCCGGCGACUGCCUGUCCAUUAACGGGAUCAGUGACUGAGUGACACUCUUCAUUUCAGUUGAGUCAAACGGGCAGCAUUCAUGGAGAGUAUUGAGGCCCACUCUACAAAACAUUGGUACUCCAGGACAAACUGUUCAUAUAUGUGGUGUAAUCGGCAGUUCUAAUAACGACUUCACUAUUCGACCUGUAAUGUGCAACUAUAAAACGCUUUAUCUACGGCCUGAUUGGAGUAAGUGUCGUGCGUACAAACGCGGCUGUUGAAGCGCUUCUUCGUGAACAGCUGGACCGUUGUGGUGGCGCCAGAGCGGGCGCAAGGAGAACUAGGACCCGGACGCCGUUUCGGCGCCACUCAGCAGGCCGCACCUGUUUUUUUUUUUAUGUAGCGGCCGUGGUAGCACACCGACUGCCCACCAUAAUUGCAAUAUGAUUACAUCGGUGAAUUAAAAAACUUUCAUGCGUAUUUUAGACAACAUUAACGAUAGAAUUCGCAAGAAAACGGGGAGCAACAAACCAGCUGCCAACCAUCGGACGCCAACUGCGCAUAUUCUGCGCGUUAUCUGCGACAGCCGAGACGCAGCGCCGUACUUUUUGCGCUUCGUCACUGGUCACACAGCGACCGACAGCGACGGCCCGCUUGCUCGUUACCGCGCGCCGGCCGUCAGCGGCGAGCGAGAAGGCAGAGAUGUUUUCAAUCACUAAACAGCAAAUUUAGGGGGCGAUCGGAGAUCUCUGUUCUGCGCCGUUCGUUCGCGUUCGUUCUGAUGAUCGCACGCGAUUGGCUGAAGCCGGACAACUCACGCCACUCUAAGGGGCGUGGCCAUUUCUUUUUUUUCCUUGAUGUUUUCCUUUUUGGUGACGUCAUGCCGCGUCAUAACGAGCAUGUCGUCUGCUAAAAGUGAACGGAGAGCGAGCCCGUUCGCUCGCGUUCUCUCGAGCGAACAACGGCGUCGCACGGCAUGUAUUUCGAGUGAUGCGGCGGUUGCGGCUGCCGCAACAGCUGAUUUUGAGAAAAUGGCGCUUGCAACGGUGCUUCCUUGCUACGUUGGCGUUUCUCGAAGCAGAUGCAGAAUGGUAGGAGGUGCGAAAUGCGUUUGAAGAGAUGAGCGAGUGUGAAUUCCGGCGUCGCUUUCGUUUCUCGAAACGUACGGUACGUUGGUUGUGCGACGAACUCGACCCGGUCAUCGGGUGCCAACGAGCCAUUGGGAUUUCAACAGAGCGGAAGGUGUUGUCUGCGCUGAGAUUUUUUGCCAGCGGAUGCUUCCAGCGAGCUGUCGGCAGCGAGGAAUUCACGGCCUGUCGCAGUCGUCCGUCAGCGAAACCAUCCACGAGGUGGCACACGCCAUUACUGUCGUUGGCGGGCAGAAACGGUGGGUGGCCUUUCCCGAGACCACGGACGCGAAGGAGCGAACAAAGGCGGCGUUCGCUCGGCUCGGGCGGAUUCCCCUUGUGGUCGGGUGCGUGGAUGGUACGCUCAUCGCAAUCCGAAGCCCCAUGGCCUGAGCUCCGCGGACACGACGCACGGGGAAGGGACUCUACGCAUUCAACACCAUGAUCACAUGUGAUGCCGAUCUCGGGAUGUCAGUCCAUGUUUCCUGGGGUCAUGUCAUGACUCGUGGGUAUGGCGGGGGAGCCCGCUCCGUCAGCACCUGGAAGCAAAACUUCGGCUUGCUUGGAGACUCCAGCUAUACAUUAGAACCGUGACUCCUGACACCAGUGCCCGGACGCCCAGCUCGUGGCACCCCUGAUAACCACUACAACAAGGCCCACACCGCCAUGCGCAAUGUUGUGGAGUGGUGCAACGCUGUAAGCUUGUGCAGAGCUGCACAAGCAUCAUUGCUGCUUGUGCAGCUCUGCACGACAUUGCGUUGGCGGCACAUAAGCCUGUUCUCAAAGGGGACGAUGACGACACAGACGAUGCUGAGCUGCUGCCAGCAGCAGCUGAGCUACCACCACCACAACGGGAGCCAGCAGCAGCGCAACCGUGUAGUGAACCUGUUUCGAGAACCACCGGGCCUGCAUGCUUGAGCAUCUGCGCAGAGUACGCCGCCGCCUGCAACGACCUCGGCAGCAUUGUGUGGCGGCUUCCGCUGCAAUGAGGGCCCGGGCGAGGGUACCAACGCCUUGCAAUUCGUGGACCACGUCACUGAGAAGUUGAACCUGGCGCAGCUUUCCAAUGAUGCCUGGCCC